AUGAAGGGUAGCACCACCGCCGUGGUGCUGAUGGUCUCAGUCUCACUGGUGGCCCUUCUCCUUGCCGGCGGUGCCGGCGCCGACGAGUCCAUCAUUCGCCUCCCCGUCGGCCAGGGCGAAGACGCAGUGACGGAGGAGACGAGGCCGUGGGACUGCUGCGACCGGCCAGUGUGCACCCGCUCCGACCCACCCCUGUGCGGCUGCAAGGACGUGGUGCAGCAGUGCUUCGCCACCUGCAAGAGCUGCAAGCCGGCGAAGCGGGCGGACGAGUCGGCCCCUUCCGGCUACAUGUGCCGGGACGCCUACCGUGGCUACCCCGGGCCCAAGCGCAUGCUCUGA
rnacentral:rRNA from 1 species